rnacentral:lncRNA from 1 species
AGGUGCCCACUACCACACCCAGCUAAUUUUUGUGUUUUUAAUAGAGACCACGUUUCACCUUGUUUACCAGGCUGGUCUCGAACUCCUGGCCUCAGAUGAUUCACCCGCCUUGGCCUCCCAAAGUGCUGGGAUUACAAGCAUGAGCCACCACGCCCUGCCCACAUUUUAGAAAAUGAAUUAUAAGGCACAGAGAGUUCAAGUACCUUUCCAAAGAUGACACAGCUAAUUAGACAGCAGACUAGGUGACCUGACCCCAGGACUUUUGCCCUUGACCUCUGCACUACCUUGUUGAGCAGAGCAGUAAAUAUUUCAUACAUAGCUUUAUCCAGAAUUUUCCUGUUGGUUGUGGUAAACCAUGUUUUGUUGUUUUGAGACAGGCUCUUCUUCUGUUGCCCAGGCUGCUGGUGUGCAGCGACACAAACACUGCUCACUGCAGCCUUAACCUCCUGGGCUCAGGCUAUCCAUUUCAGCUUCCGGAAGUGCUGGGAUUACAGGAAUGUGCCAUCAUGCCUGGCCUCACACUACAUUUUAAUGCUUUUUUUGAAAAUGAAAACUUUUGGCCAGGCACAGUGACUCUCACCUGUAAUCCCAGCACUUUGGGAGGCUGAGGCGGGCGGAUCACGAGGUCAGGAGAUUGAGACCAUCCUGGCUAACAUGGUGAAACCCCAUCUCUACUAAAAAAUACAAAAAAUUGGCCAGGCAUGGUGGCGGGUGCCUGUAGUCCCAGCUACUUGGGAGGCUG